rnacentral:lncRNA from 1 species
GUGUAAGGAUACUGGAGUGAGAGUGCGAGUGGUUGUUAGAGAAUAACUUGUACUAAGCAUGACCAACAUGAAAAAUCAUUUGGAUGUCUACUCACUCGUCAAUAAUUAUCUCGAUGCUGCAAUUGUGUGAGUGAUCCUUUGACCAAUGAUGUUAUCGACUAUUUGUAGUGAGGUUACUAAGUUUCACUGCAUAUUUUUUUAGUCUCUAGCCAUUCGGAUCCUUGUUAUGUAUGUUGGCUACAAUAGAUUUAGGUUCA